GACAGAGGUGCCAAGCGUUAGGCGGAAUCACUGGGCUUAAAGCGUGUGUAGGCGGCUUUGCAAGUCGGAUGUGAAAGCCCCGGGCUCAACCCGGGAAGUGCACUCGAUACUGCAGAGCUUGAGUGUCGGAGAGGUUGGUGGAAUUCUCGGUGUAGAGGUGAAAUUCGUAGAUAUCGAGAGGAACACCAGUGGCGAAGGCGGCUCACUGGCCCGGUACUGACGCUGAGGUGCGAAAGCGUGGGGAGCAAACAGG
rnacentral:rRNA from 1 species